rnacentral:rRNA from 1 species
UCUGUUUGAUCCUGGCGGAGGUUACUGCUAUCGAGGUUCGACUAAGCCAUGCGAGUCGAAUGUAGCAAUACAUGGCGUACUGCUCAGUAACACGUGGAUAACCUACCCUUGAGACGGGGAUGAACCCGGGAAACUGGGUAUAAUACCCGAUAGAUCUCGACUGCUGGAAUGCAUCGAGCUUGAAAGCUCCGGCGCUCAAGGAUGGGUCUGCGGCCUAUCAGGUAGUAGUGGGUGUAGCGUACCUACUAGCCUACGACGGGUACGGGUUGUGAGAGCAAGAGCCCGGAGAUGGAUUCUGAGACACGAAUCCAGGCCCUACGGGGUGCAGCAGGCGCGAAAACUUUACAAUGCUGGAAACAGCGAUAAGGGGACCUCGAGUGCCAGGUUACAAAUCUGGCUGUCGUGAUGCCUAAAAAGCAUUGCAUAGCAAGGGCCGGGCAAGACCGGUGCCAGCCGCCGCGGUAACACCGGCGGCUCGAGUGGUAACCGUUAUUAUUGGGUCUAAAGGGUCUGUAGCCGGCCGGAUAAGUCUCUUGGGAAAUCUGGCAGCUUAACUGUCAGGCUUUCAGGAGAUACUGUCUGGCUCGAGGCCGGGAGAGGUGAGAGGUACUUCAGGGGUAGGGGUGAAAUCUUGUAAUCCUUGAAGGACCACCAGUGGCGAAGGCGUCUCACCAGAACGGACCUGACGGCAAGGGACGAAAGCUAGGGGCACGAACCGGAUUAGAUACCCGGGUAGUCCUAGCCGUAAACGAUACUCGCUAGGUGUCGGCAACGGUGCGACCGUUGUCGGUGCCGUAGGGAAGCCGUGAAGCGAGCCACCUGGGAAGUACGGCCGCAAGGCUGAAACUUAAAGGAAUUGGCGGGGGAGCACCACAACGGGUGGAGCUUGCGGUUUAAUUGGAUUCAACGCCGGAAAUCUUACCGGGACCGACAGCAAUAUGAAGGCCAGGCUGAAGACUUUGCCGGAUUAGCUGAGAGGUGGUGCAUGGCCGUCGUCAGUUCGUACUGUGAAGCAUCCUGUUAAGUCAGGCAACGAGCGAGACCCA